GAGGUAUGAUGAUCAUGAAAGAGCUGCUAACUCUCUCUUUAGCGGUUAAAUUCCGUUGAUACUUCU
rnacentral:tRNA from 1 species